GUGCGCGCGGCUUGUCUCUUAUCCUAUCGGCAGCUGGGUUUCUUUCUGGACUCAGUGAAGUGGCGGAGAUCCAAGAGUCCUGCUGUGGUGGGAGAUGGCGGCCUGCGUGGAGAAGUCUGAGCCCACUUGGCUGCUGUUUAGGCCCCGGAUGGACGCGUGCAGGGCAGCGCCAUUAGGCCCAGGCCUUAAAGCCAGGAAGGGACCGGCGGUAGUUGGAACGCCGCCGGGUGACCACCGAGAGCCCGUUCCCUAGUUACAUAGCACGCCCUCAGGAGUCCACCGUAGCCCAUCCCGCUGGAGACAGCGCCUAGCACGCGGAGCUCCGCCUCGCUCUGAGUGAGUAAUACCGCCUUGGGCGAUUUCCUCCGAUUUCUCCAUGGAUCUAUGGGACCUGUCAGCCGUGGCAGUCUCCCUUCCUAGCCAUGGAAGAGCAUGAUUCUUGCUGAUUGGCAAAGCUGUCACCAUUUUGUUGGUAUCAGAUUCUGACUUGCACAAGGAACAUGUGUCGUUUAUUUGCAAGCCUACGGGAUAUUUGAUUUACUAGACAAGAAAACUCCCCUGAGCUAUUCUUCAAUGUUUUCUAGGAGGCCUGGACUCGUUGCUGAUGAGUGACGGAGAAAGUGGCCCGUUUGCUUUUCUAUAACAAACUCAAUGACAGUGGAUGAAGUGCUCAGCGACUAACAAUGGUUGGCCAAAUUUUCAAACCUUGGGAAUGGAUAUCUUGAAUAAUUGAGGCACUAUUUUCAAUGUAGGCUUGCAUUGUUUUGAGUUAGUGUUUUAAUUUUUUGUAUAAAUAAAAUGGUUCGAAGAUUGGUUGCAUA